UUAUUAUUCUCCCCAGCAUAGAAUAAGAGCUUUUUGCUCAAAAAAGCGGGACAAAGUUUUCUGAGGUUUCAAAUUGUAUCAAUUUUUUGCUUUUAGAAGUUCAUCUGUUAUAAUUUGCGUUAGUAUCAUCUGAGCUAGGUACAUGAUUAUUUAUUCAAAAGGAAGUUUUUUGUAUCGUUUUGUCUAUUCAAUUGAGGUAAGGAAGAGUUCCCUCAUUGAAAUGUGUAUUUCAUUUGUUAGUGGGAGUAUUAUUAUCUGGACAUUGUGUGAACUUUUUUCAUUUCCCUGUUGGUCAUGUCGACUCAUUUUGUAAAGUGUUACUUUAAUUUCUGUAUAAUUUACUGAUUAAGUAUUUUUGUAUUUUGAAUACAUACUUGUUAGAACAUGGCA